AUGCUUUGAUUCAACUAGAUAUAAAUGCGUCAAUUGAGGUAAAGUAUCAUGGAAGCUCUUGUAUUAGGAGUUGGAUUGUAUUUUGCCUUCGUUACUAAAAAAAAUGGGUAAAUUAAUCCUUACACAUUAGAUCAAAAAGCAAACCGAUCCUUUCUAUUAAAAACUUCAUUCAUUUCUAUUUUUAAAAACUAACAUGAUUUAUAGAAUAACCAGAUAGUUACAUGUGGUGUGCCACAUGUACCUCAUUUUCACGUACAAUGAUCAGUUUUUAACAGUAGAAAUAGAUGAGAUUUUUUGACAGAAGAAUCAAUUUGUUUUUUGAUCUAACAUGCUGUACAAACCCAAUAAUGCCCAGGCACAAACCAAUAAACGGGCCCAAACCAGUAACAGGCCCAACAACUAAUUUUUAGACCUUAGCCCAAAAAACAUCAAAAUUUCAGAAACCCUAACAGCCCCUGCCUCAGUGUCGCAGCAGCUGGUGCUGCAACUGCUCCCUCGCGUUGCGCCCGUCGAUCCCGCACAUCGCGCCCCUCGCCGCCGCGAAUCUCGCGCCUUCCCCGCACACAGUACCUGCAGCAACGAACGCAAAUAUGCCAACAAAAACAUAAUAGAUUCUUUUUGGAUUUUGUUCAUUUUUUUCCAUUUUUCGGCUAUUUAAAGCCUUGAAAAAUCUGUAAAAGGGGGGGAUUCAGUCGAAAAUAUAUGCAAAGAAAUAGAGAGAAAAUAGAGAAAUCAAACUUGAUUUUGCAUAGGUGAUUUCUUCUUUGUUUCACUUCGCAGUGUCCGUUUAUUUAUUUAUUUAUGUUUUUAUUUUCUUUUAUUUUUUUCAUUUUAUUUCGUAUAAAAUAACAAAGAAAAAGAAAAGGAAAACCGACCUUUCGUUGGAGUCACCUAGUUGUUGCCGGCUUCGUCGUGAUUGGGGCUCUGGCAUAAGGCUGAACGGCGGCAUUUGGGGGUUGAAGAAACCCUAAGGAAACUGUUUCCUUUGCUGAAGGGGGAAACAAAAUUAACUUCU
rnacentral:lncRNA from 1 species